rnacentral:rRNA from 1 species
GGACGAACGCUGGCGGCGUGCCUAACACAUGCAAGUCGAGCGAGGAGAUCCUUCGGGAUGAUCCUAGCGGCGGACGGGUGAGUAACACGUGGGCAACCUGCCUCAUAGAGAGGAAUAGCCUUCCGAAAGGGAGAUUAAUACCUCAUAACAUUGCAGUUUCGCAUGGAACAGCAAUUAAAGGAGUAAUCCGCUAUGAGAUGGGCCCGCGGCGCAUUAGCUAGUUGGUGAGGUAAUGGCUCACCAAGGCGACGAUGCGUAGCCGACCUGAGAGGGUGAUCGGCCACAUUGGGACUGAGACACGGCCCAGACUCCUACGGGAGGCAGCAGUGGGGAAUAUUGCACAAUGGGGGAAACCCUGAUGCAGCCAACGCCGCGUGAGUGAUGACGGCCUUCGGGUUGUAAAGCUCUGUCUUCAGGGACGAUAAUGACGGUACCUGAGGAGGAAGCCACGGCUAACUACGUGCCAGCAGCUGC